rnacentral:rRNA from 1 species
AGAAUCUUCCGCAAUGGACGAAAGUCUGACGGAGCGACGCCGCGUGGUGGAUGAAGCCCUUAGGGGCGUAGACACCUUUUAUGAGGGAGGAAUUUUAUUGACGUUCCCUCAUGAAUAAGGCGCUCCCAACUCUGUGCCAGCAGGAGCGGUAAUACAGAGGCCCCAAGCAUUAUCCGGAUUUACUGGGCGUAAAGGGUGCGUAGGCGGUUAUAUUAGUCAGAUGUUAAAUCCUGGGGAUCAACCUCAGGCUCGCAUUUGAAACGGUAUAACUAGAAGGAGUAAGAGGCAAGCAGAACUCACGGUGUAGGGGUGAAAUCCGUUGAUAUCGUGGGGAAUACCAAAUGCGAAGGCAGCUUGCUGGUGCUUUCUUGACGCUGAGGCACGAAAGCGUGGGUAGCG